rnacentral:rRNA from 1 species
UACAGAGGGUGCGAGCGUUAAUCGGAAUUACUGGGCGUAAAGCGCGCGUAGGCGGCUUUGCAAGUCGGGUGUGAAAAUCCCCAGGCCUAACCUGGGGAACUGCACUCGAGACUGCAUGGCUAGAGUAUCGGAGAGGGAAGUGGAAUUUCAGGUGUAGCGGUGAAAUGCGUAGAUAUCUGAAGGAACAUCAGUGGCGAAAGCGACUUCCUGGACGAAUACUGACGCUCAUA